rnacentral:tRNA from 1 species
CCACGGUUAAACUCCGUGGUUUCCUCGCG